UACGAAGGGGGCUAGCGUUGCUCGGAAUCACUGGGCGUAAAGCGCACGUAGGCGGCUUUUUAAGUCAGGGGUGAAAUCCUGGAGCUCAACUCCAGAACUGCCUUUGAUACUGGGAAGCUUGAGUCCGGGAGAGGUGAGUGGAACUCCGAGUGUAGAGGUGAAAUUCGUAGAUAUUCGGAAGAACACCAGUGGCGAAGGCGGCGACCUGGGCCAAUACUGACGCUGAGACGCGAAAGCGUGGGGAGCGAACAGG
rnacentral:rRNA from 1 species